GCCAUGGAGGGGGAGGAGAUGACACCAAAGGAAUGAGGAUGCCCAGGGAUGUCCCCUGGGAUGGAGGGAUGGAGACAGAGCCCCCAGCGGAAGAGAUGCAGCCUCCCUCCCUUCAUCCUUAAUAGGACAAAACUUUCCAUGCUCCUCGACUGAUGG